AAUCUUUGGAGGGGUCCUGAACUUCACUGGAAGCCUGAACAGGAGUGCCUUGCUGAGAUGACACCACCCAGGUCAAACUCAGAUGCACUGCCAGCUCCCUUAAUCCAAGGUAGGACAUGGACAGCAUGAAUGAAGAGAGGAGGAGGCUGACAGCAAGAGAUUUGCCACCUCAGGCAGGUGAUGUUUCCCACUGAGACCUCCAGUGCUUCCUGGGAGAGGAGAAAAGUGGCACAGACCUGGUGAGGUCCCACCUAAAACAUCACUUGGCCCAAAGGUGGCAUCAAAUCAACCCAUCUCCUGCCUGACACGUGUGUAUUGGUCUAAACAGUUCAAGGAGAUCUCUAACGGGAGGAAUUCUGCAGCUUCCUCACAAUCUGCAGCCUUAUUGUUGGCAAGGUACUCAGGUCUCAGCUGGCUCCAUACUUCCUACAUAGUGACUGUCUUGUGUGAAAAGGGAAGGCGCUGGAAGCCCCAUCACCUUGUGCUAAAAUGUGGUAUGAAUCCAGACAGCAUGCCCUGUGCCAAAACACACUGUUAGGGUGAGAUUUCCUCCAGGAGAGGCAGAUCUGCAAGCCUUCACGUUUGAGGGAUGAUAAAGUGGAAGGAAGGAGGGUUGUGUGCUUGAGGAGGACUGCAUUGCAAAGAGGUUUCUGACUCUGGCCCUGCAGUGGGUUUGUGCCAAGUGGUGGCUGUUGGGAACCCUAUGUGAGUUAAGGCACUUUGGGAGAUUCAGUUGGUUUCACCUCGUUGUGACAUCUACUUCCAUAAUCCUGAGAGCUUUCCUGCGUGCCACACAUGGAGCAGUCCCCUCAGUACAGCGAGGGAUGCAUUUAUUCUGCUCUAAUUUUGGCUUCUGAAUCUCCCUUGGACAGGAGCAAUAUGGAAUAAACAAAACUGGUGUCAAAACGCUCUUCUCAUCACUGUGUUCACCUUCCAACUUGCUUUUCUUUUGGGCCAUCCCAAAGCACUUUGCUCUUUAAUGUAUUAAUCUUGACAACAGGCCAGCAAAGCCAGGAAGUGCUGUUCUCUUCCUCCUCCUGUUUGUGUGGGUAUGGAAUUGAGGCACAGAUCAGAUAAGCUGACUACCCAUGGCAAGGCAGGACAGAGGUCCUACGUAUCCCACAGCCUCCAAAGAGCUUUUCUUUGUACCUUCUCACAGGAUCUAGAGGCAGGCCAUGGAUGGAUGUGAGCCAGGGUGAAGCAGAGCUCCAAAGGAGUGUGAUACAGAGAUGGAUUACGCAGUCUCAAGCAGGCUCUGCUCUUCUCAUUAAAUGGCUGUGAAGCCCAUGCUCUUAAACCACCAGGGAGCAGGAGGACAUCACAUGGUUGCCCAUGAGUGCCCAAGCUGCUUCCCAUGGCUAUGCAGUGUUGGCAAGGAUUUUGGUGUCAGCUCUCCAAGGAGAUCCACAGCAAACUCCUGACCUGGAGCCUCUCAGCAGAUUUCCCAAUGAGUACAGGAGAUACUGGGUGAGGCCCUGCCAAAGCAAAGUGGUGAGUGAUGGUGUCAACAGCCUCUGUCAUUGAGUGUUACUUGGAUUCAUCAGGGCACAGUGGUGGGCUGAGGGUCAGGGAUGCUCUGAGCACAGGGCUGGAGCUGCAUGCUUGUGUGUGUGCGGUGCUCCAGGAAACAGGGCAGCUGUAGGACACCAUCUACAAUUUUCAAUUGUCAAAUCUGUAUUGAAGCUUCCAAAACCAUUAAUCUCAUCCAAGUAUUUGCUAUUGGUUAUGUUUAGGUAGGGAGUAGAUACCCUCGGUUACAUUUCUAUUUAAUAAUAAAAGGAACAACCAACUUGAAUUGCUAGCCAUAACUCCCCCUGCUCCUUUUGAACAUGGCUACUUGGCCCCAAACCAAAAACAUUAUUCCCCAGCAGAAGCUCUCCAACUUUUAUUCAUUGCAGACGGAUUCGACAAGUGCCUCCAAUUCUCUGGUUACCAAUGCACUAAUGAACAUCUGCUAGUGUUUCUUGCAAGUUCAAGGACUUGGGCAGGCAAUCAUCUGGGGACUGAAUUUCUCAGUGUGUCUGAAUAAGACUGACAAAGUGACCUAGCUGAUGUGGCUUGUGGUCACGAGCAACAAAUUCAGCAGUGAUAUUCCUGGGUAUGGAGCUCAGGUAUUGCAUCUGUACCAAGGAGGCACAAGGGGCCGUUGAGCUGUAGCUCUCUAACUCCUCUGCAAGGCUCAGGAGAUGUGGGAUGCUUUGCUGUUGGCUUGAUAGGAGGAAAUGCUGCUUUCCUGUGAGUGAGUGAAGUUAACCCAAGACAUAGUUUUCAGCACAGAAACACCUUUCCAGCUCUGUUUCAUGGAGAAGAGACCCAACAGCUCCCUGCGAGCUGACCUGAAGCUGCAGGAAUAUUCUGAGGUGGAGUCACGACUAUUAAAGCAAAAAUAAGAUGAUGCAAGGACACAGCUCACUUGGUGUCAGCCUUUCCUGCGGAAACACAAAGAGGGUUUGUUGAUGCCACGUGUAGGCUGCCUCAGGUCGAGUCAUAUUUCUUUCUUUAUGGAGAUGAAGUUAGUCUUUAAGGCACCAGCUCAAAAUGGCCUUUCUUUCAUUACAAAGUUAUUUAGUUACGGGUAGGUAACUCUAAAUGACAUUUCUACAUCUUGCACUUUAUUAGUUGAUCCUAGCUGCUAAAUUACACAGAGUGAGCAGCAGAGUACAGCGGGGGAGUUGAGUGUGUUUUGGCUAAUUUUGGAUGGGGUCCAACCUUCUGGAGUUGGAAAUUUGCCUCCGAGAUGAUGAGCUUGUGCACCUCCCUCGGGGAGGGUUGUGAAGUCAGAAAGCAAAAAGGACUGGUGAAGAAUUAAAAACAAAAGUGUAAACACUGGGCUAUUUCCCUGCUCCCCGGAGAGCUCUGUGAGCACUGAGCUGUGUACUGUUCAGGAGAGGAAAAGCCAGCUCAGCGUCACUGACUUACUCAGAGGGUGAUGAGGCAGUGGUGCCAGCUACCCAGAAAGCUGUGAGUGCCCCCUCCCUGGAGGUGCUCAAGGCCAGGUGGGGUGAGCCCCUGGGCAGCCUGAGCUGGUGGGUGGCAACCAGCCUACAGCAGGGGGUUGGGACCAGGUGGGCUUUAAGGUCCUCUCCAACCUAAGCCUUUCCAUGAUUCCAUGACUUGAGCUAGUGCUGGAGAUGAUGCUGGCAAGGGAACAGAUGACCACAAAGCCACCCACCCUUCCCACCUUACUUUGCUUUAAUCUGUGGAGAAGAUGCACUCUAACCUGCAGCAUGAAGAUUUUUUUUUCCCCAGCUCCAAAUCUACUAAUUUGGAGGAAAGCCUGAGUCCUCCUGAAGCUGGCAGGACUCCUUGUCAACAUGCACAAAACCCCAGAGCAGAUGGGCACAGAUUUUGGCUAAGCACAGCAGCAGUUGUUGAGUAUUACAGUCUGUCAUCUCAUCCAGGAGCAUCCCAGCAGCUGCCUUUGCUUCUCCCUUUACUGAGAGGUGUCAGUGUGCCUCUCCUUGCACCCAGCAUCGCACUGCUGCCACUGAAGUUUCGAUUUCUAUGGCCAAGAAUGUUUUCUAUUGCAAUCUCAGCUCUUGCUUUUAAAAGCCAUACAGAGAAAUGACAUACAUUCAAGUGUAGACAUGUUUCUUCAACAGCUCAUGCUUGCCCUUCCAUAACUUUCAUGUCCUAAGGAUCAUGGAAAACCUGGUAGUACAUUACUUUCAGUAGGCUGCCAGAAAGAGAGUUCAUUUAGUUUGAUGACAGAUUAAUACUGAUUCACAAAUUAAUUUUGUCUCUUUGUAUAUCAAGGGUGUCCACAACUUAUUUAAUUUGUAAUAAAUAUAAUUAUAGAAAUGAAUGAGCUAUCAAGAUUUUUAAAGUAUGAUCCAUCAAUGUUGGCA
ensembl:lncRNA